AGAAGAGGGUCUAGUGAAAUGUUCUGUGAGUGGACGUAAGAGUUCCUCCCAUCCUCCAUCCUGCCCAGAGUGAUCUUCAGGGUCACCAGGAAGCUGGAACCACUAGAUGUGAAUUGAGGGAUGGGCUUCCUGCUCACCUCUCAACUGGGAAUGUCCCCCUAGGGUCAUACACCAACUUGUUUUCUCACUGGCCUCGAAGGCCAUCUCAAGAUGCUGGAGUGUCACCUCCAAGCUCGAGAGCUGCCACCCUUGCCUGCUAUCUAUUCAUCCUUCUGCUAGUCUCAGAGUGCAGCCAUGGCCAACGGGACUUACCUGCCUAUGACAGCACAUCAGUAAUAGAUAUUGUCCCUUUCAGCCUAGUUAAUGAAGGAUCCAAGUCACGCCAGGUUUUAUCUGUCAGAGAAAUACCAGUAAGCAGGAUACAGAGACCAAACCAAACCCUGUUUGGAAGCAAUGAUCUUCAAGUAAAUCAGGAAAAAAUAUUGUUGGGUUUCUCUAGUGCAGACUCAUCACAGGAAACCAGCUGUCCCUCUGCCUGAGUUUCAAGGAUCUUAGUUUCAGAUCCAGGGCCACUGGGGGCAGAGGUCAAGGCAUGGGUAUUUCCUUGAUCAAGGAGCCAGGGACUUCUGUGAACACUAGACAGCCAGCCAUACAUCUACCCAGGUAAUCAGGCUGUAGAGGGGAGUGUGUCUCCCAUAACUAGUCAACAUGCAGCAAAUUUAAAAUUUGCUAAAUUUUAAGUACAUAAAAUCUUAAGUACAUAAUUCCUAAAAAUAAUAAUAAUAAUAAUAAAGCAACUAAAAUCCAGUCUCAUAUGUUCCAACCUAAAAAGGGGAAAGAAUUGUCUAUUUUAUUAGAAACAUCUCUCCUGAAGAUUAUGGAAAAAAGGCUGCAGGACUGGCUUCUGGACUCACUGUCACCACUAACUAACCAGCCCCAGGACCAUUUGGCUACUGAAAAUCUUUGAAGUCACGUUAGCCCUCCGGCCCAGUCUCCUCAUCUGGGGAAAGAGGGCAUCUGGCUGAAAAAUAAAAAUAGCCGAUGUUUUUUGAGUAUUUACCAUGCUCUGGAAAAUGUGCUAAGAGCUCAAUUAUUUUAAAACAUUAAUAAUUCUAUGGUUAUCAGCUCUUCACCACACUGGGAGGUGCAGACCAUCAUGAUCCCGUUUAUCAGAUCAGGAUCCUGGGGCCAGAGAGAUGAGUGAUGUCCAGGUGGAGACUCCAGGACUGGACGGAGGGGCUGAGGGUUGCUACUCUAUUACUGAUUCUAAUAUACUAUCUUCUUCUGUGAGCAGAAGGCUCCUUCCAGCAAUAGGAUGUGACUUGCUUCAUUGACCUGGCUCAUCUGCAGGGGCAUUUGUAGAAAGUGGCCUCUGAGCUGCCGCUAGACCUGCAAAGACCUGAUAGUCACCAGAUAGGCAGGUAGGGAAGGCCAUUUGCCAGACUAGAUCCACUGAAGGUCUUCCUUGUUGUGCUGGGUGUUGUUUAAUUUCCUCCUGCUCACUAAUACGGUCAGUUGGAAUUUGGUAUCCAUUCACACUUCUUUGUUGAGUGCUUCCUGUCCUGCUGAUGUUGAUCAGCCAAAAGCUAUGUUUUCCAGAGUCCCUUCUGCAGUAAGCUGACAUUCAGGUGGCCCCAACAAUCCCUUGAGCAUAGCCUCCAGCCAACAGCCUGCAGGAAGUCGAGACCUCAGCCCAACAGUCCUGGAAGAAUGGACUUGGCCAGCAGUUAAGAGAGCUUGAAAGCAGGUCCUUCCUCAGUCAAGCUUUCAGAUGAAACCCCAGUCCUGGCCAGCACAUUCUUUGCCACCUCUAAGAAACUCCAAGGCAGAGAACCAAGCCAAGCCCCCUGACCCACAGAACCUAUGAGAUAAUCAACAUGUGCUAAAUUUAUGAUAGCCUGUUAAACAGCAGCAGGUGGCAAGUAUUUAGUUCUGCCUAUCAGACAUUCUCCUUGGGAUGUAGAACACGGAAGGGAAGCAUAUUCUUGCUCCUUCUGUCUGGUUUCAACCAGUCUGUGUGAGGUCACCAGCCUGCAUUCCAGGAAGUGGUGGCCAGGAUGAAGCCUGAGAAUCUUGGUGGUUAUGAUCGUAGCCUAGCACCCAGAUGGGGAGAUCACAGUCCCACAUGUCAUCAAUAGAUCGGUGGGUCUCCCAAUUUCCCACCUUCCCAAAGGGAGAAGUCAUCUGGACCAGUCAUCAGAAACCCCAUUCCUCUGGCCAACUUCCUGAGAACCAGGAGAGCAAACACACCACAUCUGGGGGCCCUCCCAUCUGUCCCAUAACCGUCUCCCCUAAGCUAAACAGGCUCCAAAUGUCAUCUCUGCUGCAGUCUUAUCUUCUUCUCCGUCCACUAUAUAGCAUCGCUCUAUUUCAGGUGAGAUAUCAUUCUCAAUUUAAUUAAAGUCAGAGGAAUAAUGGCUACAGGGCUAUGUUUCUAGCAGGGAUCCCAAAUGCCAAGGAGCUUGUGAAUUUCUCUAACAAGAGAAGGGUCAAGAUCAUCCAUGUAUUUUAAAGACAAGUAUUCACCUCUCCACCCCACCUGCCCCCACCAGUUUGCAAACAAUUGGGCACAAGUAGGCCCCAAACCGCAGGCCAGCCAGCAACCUUCGAUUUUCUUGUUGGCUGAAGAGCGAAACAAGCACAUGUGCUUCCUUCACUGGCACUGACUGAAGCUGAGCCACAUGCUCAGGAAGGAUGCUCUGGACCAGGGAUACAGCCGCCAGCCUGGCAGGAGCUCGUCCCUGGCCCUACGCUGUUCCCUGAGAGGAGGACACCGCAGACAUCAUGAGAAGAGGCAGGGAGGCAUCCCUAAAAACAGUCAUUGGAUGCUGAGGCUCAGCUGCUAACCCAUCUUCCCUGCAUGUUCUUGACUCCCGAAACCACCUGCUAGGUCUCAGCCAAACGCACCUCCCAGACACCAGUUUUAUGUUUAAAGAGAUGGUUGGAGUCACUGGAAAUCCAGCCAGAGACUCUGCUCUGAACAUCACAUCACCUCCUUUCUCCAUGCUCUGCUGCAGAAGUUCAAACUACCCUUCAUCCUGCGACACAGCCUAAAUAGACUCUCCACUACCCCUCCCUAUGCUCUGUUAGAGAACUAUCCUGAUGAGUUCCCUUGAAAUGCUUUGACCAGACACGCUGUAUACUAGUUGUUUGCAAGCUGCAUGAAACGGUCCUUUAACUGGCUUAUAGGAAACAAAAGACAUCCCCAUCCUCACCGGUUUCACCAUCUCUCAGGCAAUCCCUGUGAAAUGCCAGCAGCCCACAUGUCACAGCAGUCACAUUGCGGUGUUCUUUUCCUACCGCCGAUCGCUGUGGUGUGAACACCUCUGCCAUCCACAUGACAAGGCCCGUGGCAUCCUCUGUGCUCCCCAGUGGGUGUGAGGGAGUCGGACAGCACACCUUUGGCCUCACUGCUCUGUUAGCCCGCGUCAGAAGUUGCUCUGGUGGACUGGGUGGGUUCCUCGCACCUCCCAUUAGAACCACCUGUCACCUCUGGAGACGCACCUGAGCCAAGGAACCAGCUCCUUCAUGAACCAGGUGUCAUGACUGUAAAAAUCCAACAGAGCGAAAGCCACAUCCAUACGGGGUUCUGAGCCACACGGUUCGGUCAGGGGCAGACUCCGGGCCCAGAGAACGCUGACGACUCCCCCGGCCCCAUCGCUUCGGGGACCUCAUCAGCUGCCCUUCUGGGCUGCGCUCUAAUUCUCUUAUUCUCUGCAGACUUGGAAAGACAGAACAUUAAGAAGUCAUUUUCCCACCCAUACUUUCCAUGCAUCCAACUCUGCUCAGCUGGAGCUUCUCUGUCUUUGGGCAUCUUGUUUCCCAUCUCACAUGUUCCCAGGAGUCAAGAACCUUUUAGGGAAGAGAGGCUAGCAGCUCAGCCAUGUUAGGUGCCAGCAUGAUUAUGGCUGCACCCGGGUCACUGGGCAUCCAUCUCUGGGUGUCGUGGCUCCCAGAAUUUCUGUGGGGAGUGGAGCAUGGUCAUCUCCCUGCAGCUCAUUCCAAAUAAGAACUAGGAGCAGGUAAUGGACCCGUUGAUUUUCAUUUUUUUAAGGAAUAAUAAUACCUGAUAGGAUAUGAAUUACACUGUUCUUUUUUUCCUUCGACAAUCUGCAUUUGCAGCAUUUUUCAUCAAUUCGAAGCAUUCAAAUAAAGAUCAUCUAGCAUGCCUGGGAUAAUUACGUCUAUCAAAGAACACUCACGGGUGCACAAAGCUUGGAAAUGCUACGCCAACGAUUUGUUUGAAGUGCAACCCAAGGAGAGGUGUAUCUAUAGUAACCACAGGCAGGUAUUCAAAUACCACUGUAUUUCCUGAUAAUGGGUCCAUUAAUGAAAUAGCAGUUUGAUUUUCAAUCGCACUUAAUGAUACCUUUUGUGUAACCAACAUCCCUAUGUGCCGACAUGUUCAAACGGGCUGCUGCAAGUGGAGGGACAAAG